UGAGUUUUGAAAGUUUAAUUUUGAAACUACCAUGGUACUUUCGCAAGCAAUGCAUUUGAAAAAAAAAAGAACUUUUCACUCUUUAAUUUCAUGGUUAAAUGUCUUUGCUCAUUAUUUUGGGAGGGAACUAAAACAUAAAUUUGAAUGUGUGAUCAUGCAUCAAGAUGAGAAGCGAGUUGCAUGUAGUGUUAGUAUAAUCGGGUAAUCAUUUAUCAAUAGCAAAGCUCUGACUUCUAAUGUUUUUCUUUCUGCAGCUAUACGGAGCAGUAACCAUGA
rnacentral:misc_RNA from 1 species